rfam:Ictidomys tridecemlineatus contig072749, whole genome shotgun sequence.
GGGGAUGUGGCUCAGUGGUAGAGUACUUUCCUAGCAUGUGUGAGGCCCUGGGUUCUAUCCCCAGCACCACAA